GAUAAACGCUGGCGGCGUGCAUAACACAUGCAAGUCGAACGAUGAAGAUUAAAAGAUUUCUUCGGAAUGAACUUAAUUGGAUUAGUGGCGGACGGGUGAGUAACGCGUGAGUAACCUGCCUUGUACAAGGGGAUAGCCGUUGGAAACGACGAAUAAUACCCUAUGACAUCAAAUAAUCGCAUGAUAAUUUGAUCAAAGAUUUAUCGGUAUAAGAUGGACUCGCGUCUGAUUAGCUAGUUGGUAGGGUAAAAGCCUACCAAGGCAACGAUCAGUAGCCGGCUUGAGAGAGUGUACGGCCACAUUGGGACUGAGACACGGCCCAGACUCCUACGGGAGGCAGCAGUGGGGAAUUUUGCACAAUGGGGGAAACCCUGAUGCAGCGACGCCGCGUGAUUUAGAAGGCCUUCGGGUUGUGAAAAUCUUUUGUAUGGGAAGAAAAUGACAGUACCAUACGAAUAAGGACCGGCUAAUUACGUG
rnacentral:rRNA from 1 species